rnacentral:misc_RNA from 1 species
AAACUCUCAAGUAGAGAUAGCUUUGUUGUUAUCCUUGCUUGGAUUUGGGCUUUGCUGUGCCAAUGCAGCUGGCCCUAAAUGCAUUAGCUGGUCCUAAUGAAGGAUUUGGUUCUACUCAGCAUGAUAAUUGGUCUGAUGUUGAGGACAGUCUUAAGAGACUGGCCAGUCGUCUUUGGAUUGCUUCUAAUUGUCCUUGGACAUAACUGUUUGAUU